rnacentral:rRNA from 1 species
UACGAAGGGGGCUAGCGUUGCUCGGGAAUCACUGGGCGUAAAGGGUGCGUAGGCGGGUCUUUUAAGUCAGGGGUGAAAUCCUGGAGCUCAACUCCAGAACUGCCUUUGAUACUGAGGAUCUUGAGUUCGGGAGAGGUGAGUGGAACUGCGAGUGUAGAGGUGAAAAUUCGUAGAUAUUCGCAAGAACACCAGUGGCGAAGGCGGCUCACUGGCCCGAUACUGACGCUGAGGCACGAAAGCGUGGGGAGCAAACAGGG